rnacentral:lncRNA from 1 species
GGUGAAGAUGACUGAGUACUUAAAGUUGGAUGCGCCUAAAUUUACUACGGGAGAUGAUCCCUUUGAGUAUCUCAGUGCAGUGAGAAUGAUAACAAGUGAGUUGGGAGCAGAUGAGAGCAGGGCCAUUGAGAUGGCAGGGUUCACUUUAAAAUGCAAGAAAGCCAGAGAAUGGUUCAAGAACUAUGUGGACCCCAGAAUAGACAGUAUGACAUGGGAAGAGUUCGCCAACGAAUUUGCUGGGUGGGCUUUUCCUGACAGUUCUAGGGAGCUAAAGGUUGUGGAGUUUGAGCAGUUGAGACAGACGGAGGAGAUGAGCAUUGAUGAGUAUACCGAUAAGUUCCUGGAAUUGUUACCAUACGUGGGUCAGGCGUAUGAUACGGAUCAGAAGAAGGCAAAGAGAUAUGCCACAAGGCUUCAUCCUAGGUAUUUCUCUUUGAUUCUUCACGCGGAAAAGGAGAGUUUCCACUCUAUUGUGGAUGCUGCUAGAAAGAUGGAGGCCAGUGCCAUCAGUCAGGGAGUAGUCAAGCAAGCAAAGGCACAGGCUUCUGGUACGGCAAGUGCGAGCAAGAAGAGAUGGGAUACAUUCAGAGGAAAGAGAGGCAAGUUCUGGAGCAGGAUUAAGACGGGUCUGGGCAUGAGUAGCGGCUCCAGCUCUGGCACAGAUCUUCCAGUUUGUCAUAGGUGUGGGAGACCACACAGAGGAGCUUGUAUGUUGGGAUCUUCAGCCUGCUAUAGAUGUGGGCAGGAGGGACAUUAUGCACGGGAAUGUCCUCAGGCGACUUUGGUUGCACCAUCCCAGCAGAUGACCUCAGGUAGUGUCGUCCAGUCAGCAGCUUCAGUCCGUCCACCAAGCAGUGGCAGAGGUAGAGGAAGAGGGGCAGCCUCUUCAUCAGGGAUGGGUUCCCGAGGUGCAGGUCCGUCAGCUCCAGCACGGAUUUUCACCAUGACGCAACAGGAGGCAGACACGUCGAACACAGUGGUGUCAGGUACUCUCAUCAUUUGGUGUUCAGAGGUGUAUGCUUUAAUGGACCCCGGUGCUUCUCACUCUUUCAUUUCUUCUAGAGCUGCAGAGAGAUUGGGGUUGAUUGUAUCCGCGUUAGCGUGUCCUCUCUGGGUCAGUGGACCUAGAUGUGACCCAUCAUUGGCAGAGUCAGUCUGUCAGUUCAGUCCAGUGUGUAUAGAGGAUAGAUGCCUUCCAGCUGACCUUGUGGUUCUAGAGUUGACAGAUUUUGAUGUCAUUCUAGGGAUGGAUUGGUUAUCUACCUAUAGUGCUACCUUGCACUGUAGGGACAAGGUAGUGAGUCUAAGAGACCAGGAUGGGUCAGAGUGUGUCUUCAGAGGAGACAAGAAAGGGACACCUAGGGGUUUGAUAUCAGCCCUUCAGGCUCGUAGGAUGUUGAGGAAGGGUUGUCAGGGGUUCCUAGCUUAUGUGAGAGAGCUAGACAGUCAGGUUAGGGAACCAUCCUCAGUACCAGUUGUUAGAGACUUCCCAGAUGUGUUUCCUGAAGAGCUUCCAGGACUACCACCUGUUAGGGAAAUAGAGUUCGAGAUAGAGUUGAUGCCCGGUGCCAGAC